ACGAACGCUGGCGGCGUGCUUAACACAUGCAAGUCGAGCGGUAAGGCCUUUCGGGGUACACGAGCGGCGAACGGGUGAGUAACACGUGGGUGAUCUGCCCUGCACUUCGGGAUAAGCCUGGGAAACUGGGUCUAAUACCGGAUAUGACCUCCUAUCGCAUGGUGGGUGGUGGAAAGAUUUAUCGGUGCAGGAUGGGCCCGCGGCCUAUCAGCUUGUUGGUGGGGUAAUGGCCUACCAAGGCGACGACGGGUAGCCGACCUGAGAGGGUGACCGGCCACACUGGGACUGAGACACGGCCCAGACUCCUACGGGAGGCAGCAGUGGGGAAUAUUGCACAAUGGGCGAAAGCCUGAUGCAGCGACGCCGCGUGAGGGAUGACGGCCUUCGGGUUGUAAACCUCUUUCAGCAGGGACGAAGCGCAAGUGACGGUAGCUGCAGAAGAAGCACCGGCUAACUACGU
rnacentral:rRNA from 1 species